UACGGAGGAUGCAAGCGUUAUCCGGAAUGAUUGGGCGUAAAGCGUCCGCAGGUGGCCAUGUAAGUCUGCUGUCAAAGCGUCUGGCUCAACCAGAUAAAGGCAGUGGAAACUACAUAGCUAGAGUAAGGUAGGGGUAGAGGGAAUUCCUGGUGUAGCGGUGAAAUGCGUAGAAAUCAGGAAGAACACCGGUGGCGAAAGCGCUCUGCUGGACCUUAACUGACACUGAGGGACGAAAGCUAGGGGAGCGAAUGGG
rnacentral:rRNA from 1 species